ACGCUGGCGGCAUGCCUAAUACAUGCAAGUCGAGCGAAUGGAUUAAGAGCUUGCUCUUAUGAAGUUAGCGGCGGACGGGUGAGUAACACGUGGGUAACCUGCCCAUAAGACUGGGAUAACUCCGGGAAACCGGGGCUAAUACCGGAUAACAUUUUGAACCGCAUGGUUCGAAAUUGAAAGGCGGCUUCGGCUGUCACUUAUGGAUGGACCCGCGUCGCAUUAGCUAGUUGGUGAGGUAACGGCUCACCAAGGCAACGAUGCGUAGCCGACCUGAGAGGGUGAUCGGCCACACUGGGACUGAGACACGGCCCAGACUCCUACGGGAGGCAGCAGUAGGGAAUCUUCCGCAAUGGACAAAAGUCUGACGGAGCAACGCCGCGUGAGUGAUGAAGGCUUUCGGGUCGUAAAACUCUGUUGUUAGGGAAGAACAAGUGCUAUUUGAAUAAGCUGGCACCUUGACGGUACCUAACCAGAAAGCCCCGGCUAACUACGUGCCA
rnacentral:rRNA from 1 species